AGGGAAAUUGCUGGAUCAUAUGGUUAGACUGUGUUUAUUUUGUAAGAAACUGCCAAAUUGUUCUCCAAAAUGGUUGUAGUAUUUUGCAUUCCCAUCAGCAAU
rnacentral:pre_miRNA from 1 species